CUACGGGGCGCUGCAGUGGGGAAUAUUGGACAAUGGGCGAAAGCCUGAUCCAGCCAUGCCGCGUGUGUGAAGAAGGCCUUCGGGUUGUAAAGCACUUUCAGUGGGGAAGAAAGCCUUGGGGCUAAUACCCUCGAGGAAGGACAUCACCCACAGAAGAAGCACCGGCUAACUCCGUGCCAGCAGCCGCGGUAAUACGGAGGGUGCGAGCGUUAAUCGGAAUUACUGGGCGUAAAGCGCGCGUAGGCGGUCUGAUAAGCCGGUUGUGAAAGCCCCGGGCUCAACCUGGGAACGGCAUCCGGAACUGUCAGGCUAGAGUGCAGGAGAGGAAGGUAGAAUUCCCGGUGUAGCGGUGAAAUGCGUAGAGAUCGGGAGGAAUACCAGUGGCGAAGGCGGCCUUCUGGACUGACACUGACGCUGAGGUGCGAAAGCGUGGGUAGCAAACAGGAUUAGAUACCCGAGUAGUC
rnacentral:rRNA from 1 species